AGGGGUGUGGAAAGAGGCAGAACA
rnacentral:miRNA from 1 species